ACUCCUACGGGAGGCAGCAGUGGGGAAUAUUGCACAAUGGGCGCAAGCCUGAUGCAGCCAUGCCGCGUGUAUGAAGAAGGCCUUCGGGUUGUAAAGUACUUUCAGCAGUGAGGAAGGUGGAUAUGUUAAUAGCAUAUUCUAUUUGUACGUUAGCUGCAGAAGAAGCACCGGCUAACUCCGUGCCAGCAGCCGCGGUAAGUACGGAGGGUGCGAGCGUUAAUCGGAAUUACGUGGGCGUAAAGCGCAUGCGUAGGUUGGUUUAGUUAAGUCAGAUGUGAAACGCCCGGGCUCAACUCGGAAUUGCAUUUGAAACUGGCAAACUAGAGUACUGGUAGAGGGGGGUA
rnacentral:rRNA from 1 species